ensembl:lncRNA
AGUAGGAGAAGCAAAUCACAAACAAGUCAAGACACGUUACCAAUCAUUACAGAUGGUGUUGAGGGCGACAAAGCAAGACAACUGUGGGCCAGGCCGGAGCCAUGGGGAGACCUACCCGUGACUGGGGAGUCAGGGACAGCCUCUCUCAAGAAGAGGCCCUAAGGAUGAGCCCCUGGAGCAUAAUAAGGAGCUGGCUGAGAGACUCCCAGAAGCAGGACUGAAAGUCUUGGUGUAUAGGAGCUCAGUUAAGAACGUUAACGGAAGGGACGCCUGGGUGGCACAGUCCGGGCCGUUGAGCAUCCAACACUUGGUUUCAGCUCAGGUCAGGAUCUCAUGGUUGUGAGAUCAAGCCCCGCAUCGGGCUCCGAGCUCAGCACAGAAUCUGCUUGAGAUUCUCUCUUUCGCCUUCUGCCCACCCCCCCCCCCAUGCUCUCUCUCUCUCUUUCUGAGAUAAAUAAAUAAAUCUUUUCAAAAAGAAGGAAACAAAGAAAAGUUACCGGAAGAACUAUGCCAGUGACUCGGUUGACGGGAGCUUCGUGCUGGUCUAGAAACCUUAACCUGGAGCCCUAACUCAGGCUAGCCCUGGAAAACACAGCUUUGGUUCAAAAGAGAACAGCCGGGCAAGUAAGGUGUCUCCACGAUUGGGCAUCCACGUCCACAGAGGUUUCUGGAGUUCUUCCCCAGCGCCAGCACGCUCCCCGCCCUGGGGAUCCAGAGACGAACCGGACCGCAAGGAGCUCACGCUUUACUGGAAGAGAUCAGAUAAGCAAAUAAAUGACCGGAGAGUGUGGUAAAUACAACAGGAGAACCAUGUGUAAGAGCCCAGAGUAGCCCAGAAGAGGGGGUGCUGAACACAUUUGGGAGGGGCAGGGAACAGCUAAAAGAGGCUGUAUUUUGGAGCUUGGAGUACAAGGCAGAGAGCGGUGGGCACCGAGGUUUCAGCAGGGGCAGGUCACGGGAAGGCUUUGCGGAGAGACGUUCCGGAUUUGAGCUGCACUCAAGCUAGGGCUCCAACUGACCGCACACUCUCCUGGACUGGGUUCCCACCACAGCUGAGGAGCUGGCCUUCAUUUCGGGUUUGGAGUCAUGUGUGGACAGCAAGUUGGUUUCUUUUCAGGAGUCCCAGCAUAUGGCCUCUUACGCAGCUCAAAAUCAAUAAAAU